UACGUAGGGGGCAAGCGUUGUCCGGAAUCACUGGGCGUAAAGGGCGCGUAGGCGGCGCGGGUAGUCAUCGGUGAAAGUUCAGGGCUCAACUCUGAAUCGGCCGGUGAUACUCCCGUGCUUGAGCACUGUAGAGGCAGGUGGAAUUCCGGGUGUAGCGGUGGAAUGCGUAGAGAUCCGGAAGAACACCGGUGGCGAAGGCGGCCUGCUGGGCAGUAGCUGACGCUGAUGCGCGACAGCGUGGGGAGCAAACAGG
rnacentral:rRNA from 1 species